CAAAGCCUAACAGUCAGCAACUAAAGUACACACCACACUGGAGUCAGGAGUGACUCCAGUGUGGUGUGGUGCUUUUCUUGCAGUAUUGAAAAAAACAAAAAACAAAAACGCAUUUGCUUUUUGCAUGUGACACUUUGAAUAGUCAAAUAAAGUACAUACUGUGUGUAAAAGAAAAAAAAAGAGAGUCAUCUUCUGUUCUUCUUUGAUUGUGAUUACUCUUUAAUCUAAUUAAAAUCAAACCAAUAGAAACCUUGCUUUCCACUACAAACCUUUCAUCUCUCAAUCAUUCAUUCACUUCACAUUCUCUCAGAGUCAUUUACUGCGUCCUUUACUUGCCCCGCCUUUGUUUUACUGGUUUCGGCUUAACCAGUUUAGCCUCCCUCUUUGUUUACGCUAUAUAACCUGUGACUGUAGUACCUGUGUGAUCACUUUGCAUCUGUGCUGACACAAGUCACUGUCUGCCUUUACAUCCUUGUUACUGUGUUACAGGGAGUAGCACCCAGCUUUCUUCAUGUCUUCCGACCAGGAGAGCUGCUACCUGUGUAAGGAAUAUCUCAGGGAUCCUGUGUCCAUCCCAUGUGGCCAUGUCUUCUGCUCCAUUUGCCUGAAAACCUACUGGGACCAUGCUGACCACACAGGCUCAUUCAUCUGCCCACAGUGCAGGGUCACAUACAGUAAGAGGCCCACACCAAGACGCAUGACGAGCUCCCGGAGUUCGACACUACCACGCAAUUCUGAAGCCUUUCCACCGCCGCCUCCGUCUCCUGACUACAACUAUGCAGGACCACAGGACGUUGGCUGCGACAUCUGCAUUGGCAAGAAGCACAAAGCCAUCAAGACCUGUCUGAUGUGCCUGGCUUCCUACUGUGAGAAGCACCUGAAGCCUCACUUUGAGUCUGCAACUUUUAAGAGGCACAAGCUGGUGGAUGAAAUCGGCCAUCUGGACAGACAGAUCUGUCCUCAGCAUCAGAAGGGUCUGGAGCUGUUCUGCCGCACUGAUCAAAUGUGCAUCUGUGUCCUGUGCACGGUCAAAGAGCACAAAGGCCAUGACAUGGUGUCUGCGGAGCAGGAGAGGGCCGAGGAACAGCAACGACUGGGCGCCACCCAGGCGGAGAUCCAAGAGAAGAUUCACGACCGGCUCAAGCAGAUGGAGGAACUUAAACAAGCAGUAGACUCACUAAAGAACUCGGCGCAGAGAGCACUGCAGGAAUGUGAGAAGAUGUUCAGUGACAUGAUGCGCUCCAUCGAAAGGAUGCAGCAGGAGAUGGCCAAGCUCAUCUCCUCCAACAAGAGAGCCGCGCUGAACAACGCAGAAGGCCACUUGGAGCGGCUGACUCAUGAGAUAGCUGACCUGAAGAGGAGAGACAAUGAGAUCACUCAGCUGUCCCGCACUGAAGACCACAUCCACUUCAUCCAGACCUACCACAUGCUUAUAGCUCAGACGGAGGCGGAGGAGUUGCCCACAGUCAGUGUCAACCCCUACUUCUCCUUUGGCCCAGUGAACAAAGCUGUGUCUGAGAUGAAACAGCACUUGAAUGAAUUUAGCAACGAUGAGCUGGUCAAGGUCGCCAAGACAGUUAACAAAAUGACCUUCUGUCAGCUGGAUGAAUCCAAAAAGAGACGAUCAAUAAAAAGCGAUGAAGCUGCCAUGUACAAGUCGGUGCCAGUGCAGGAACCUCAGUACAGGGAGGAUUUCCUGAAAUAUGCUUGCCAGCUAACUCUGGAUUCAAACACAGCCUACAGACAGCUGUACUUGUCCAGAGGAAACCGGAAAGCUGUCCUAAAGAGAGACCCCCAGAACUUCAGUGACAGCCCUGCCAGGUUUGACUCCCUGCCCCAAGUCCUGUGUAAAGAACCCCUCUCUGGUGGUGCAUACUACUGGGAGGCUGACUGGAGCGGGGAGGGAGCUGCCAUUGGUGUCACAUACAAAGGCAUUAAGAGGACCGGUUACGGAGACAGCUGCCGCAUUGGAUACAACCGCAAGUCCUGGAGCCUCUUCUGCUCCGACUCCAGCUACUCAGCCCGUCACAAUAAAGACCAAAUAGAGAUCAAAGCACCGUAUUCCUCCCGCAUCGGUGUGUUCCUUGACCAUGCUGGCGGUACUCUCUCUUUCUACGCCGUGGGAGACUCUAUAUCUCUCAUCCAUCGCUUCAAGACCUCCUUUAGUGAACCAGUCUAUCCAGGCUUCUGGGUUUGGUAUGAGUCGGCCAUCGCUCUCAUACAGCUGUAAAAAAAAAAAAGAAAAAAUCAGACUUCUGCUAAUUGAUGUACAACAUUGAUUGCGUAUUAUUGUGAAUAUUUAGAACAAAGCUAUAACAUCUUUGAAGGUACAUACUAUAUUUUUUUCUGAAGGAUUUAUAUAACUACAACACAUGGAUUAUAAUCAGGGGAUUUUUUGUAAUGACUGUGAAUAUUCUUCAAAUUAAUCUGUUACAAAAAGGUUAUUCACUUAUUGACUAUCGGGGGGCUAUACCCCCGAUUUAACAUAAAUAAACCUUUUUUUCUCAGGAACAUUAUCACAUCUUUGUUCUCUUCUCAUCACACACGUUUGUCUAAAGAAUGGCAAUUGUUGGCAAUUACGGUGUAGCAGUCAUAUAUAAUGAAUAAAUAUUAAAGACAGUGA